GUGCUCAUUUCUGCAGCACAUAUACUAAAAUCGGAAUGAUACAGAGAAGAUUAGCAUGGUCCCUGUGCAUGGAUGACACACAAAUUCAUGAAGUGUUCCAGAAUUUU
rnacentral:snRNA from 1 species